rnacentral:rRNA from 1 species
AUUGAACGCUGGCGGCAGGCUUAACACAUGCAAGUCGAGCGGGGAAGGGUAGCUUGCUACCUAACCUAGCGGCGGACGGGUGAGUAAUGCUUAGGAAUCUGCCAUUUAGUGGGGGACAACAUUCCGAAAGGAAUGCUAAUACCGCAUACGUCCUACGGGAGAAAGCAGGGGAUCUUCGGACCUUGCGCUAAAUGAUGAGCCUAAGUCGGAUUAGCUAGUUGGUGGGGGAAAGGCCUACCAAGGCGACGAUCUGUAGCGGGUCUGAGAGGAUGAUCCGCCACACUGGGACUGAGACACGGCCCAGACUCCUACGGGAGGCAGCAGUGGGGAAUAUUGGACAAUGGGCGGAAGCCUGAUCCAGCCAUGCCGCGUGUGUGAAGAAGGCCUUAUGGUUGUAAAGCACUUUAAGCGAGGAGGAGGCUACUAGUAUUAAUACUACUGGAUAGUGGACGUUACUCGCAGAAUAAGCACCGGCUAACUCUGUGCCAGCCGCCGCAGUAACAC